CUUGCCUUCUGCAGGUGGCUUAUGGGCUACCUGGUCAGUGGGCCCACUACACAGCAAAUUCCUGGGUGAGCUCUUCGUCUCCACCUCCCGCCUCUUUACAUAGAACAGAAGGGACAGAAUGGAGAAAAGGGGCUCGAAAAGCCACCGUUUGAGCGAGCAACACUCUGGGAGCAAAUUUACCAGUAGCCAGCCUCCAAGUCUCCCGAGUAGGCUGUUUCUGGAGCUGCUGGAGGCAUGUGGUUCAAGCAGCAUUUGAGAAGCAGAGCAAGAGGGAGAAGCAGCUUUGAAGUGACCUGAUGUUCAAAGACAGGUGCAGAAUAUCUCACAUCCUGAUGUGGAAACUCUGAAAUAAGGAACCAGAGAAUGCUGGAGACAGCCAAGAUCUGUGAGAUAUGAGCCCAACAGAUGCCAAACUGACUGCACCUAAAAAGAAAAUCUGCUCUUCAUAUGGUCCAUGAGAUUGAUCCUACCUAUUGCCUUCAGUGGGAGUUUUGCCACUAUCUUCAAGAGAUAUAGGAAUGGCCUCAUGGCCACCAAUACCCAGUUUGUUCUUCCCUUUAAAUUCCUUGUCUUUGUUUUCUUCUGCCAUAGAAAGGAGACUAAAAGAAUGCAAGAGCCACUAAUUGCACUGCUACCCCUCUGUUAUUACUUUUAUCUGUGGACUUGGUAAUUAGCAAUUAGGCUUUUAAUUUUGUUUCCUAGGAGCGCAAGAGCUGUAAUUAGGCAGCUCAGAAAUGUAAGAGCUUUGGAGGUGCAUUUUGUGUCUGUUUUGUUUAAACCUUUGUUGGGAAGGUGGCAUAUAAAUUGCACAGAUAAAUAUAUACAUACAUGCACACACAAAUAAAUAAAUAAAUACAUUCCUGGUCCUACUUGCCCUUUGCAGGGAGCCUGAGGGCUACAAAUAUCCCACAUGAAAAUUAGACUGAGGAUCAGAUUUUGAACACCCUUAACCAAUUCUUUUUAAAUCCAGAAGUACUGGACUUGAUCUAGCACUCUGAAACAGUCGGCACUCCUGGGGCCAUCAGUCACUUAAGGACCCGUGAAAGAAUUUCUAUGGUCAUUUAUAGUGGAUCAUGACUGCACUGGUUUUAAUCUCUUUAUUUCCAUUGUGCUGGUGCUGGUUAAUCUGGCAACACCAGGCCAUGCACUGAAACUGAUAGGUGGACAUGCCCACCAUAGUUUUGGAUCAGCAGGUAGCACGUAUAGGACAGGGCAUAUAUAAGCAGCUACUGUACAAGACAGGGGUGCUCAACCCCAACCCACAAGCCAUGUCAUGUAACUGGCCCCCAGGGGUCUGAUAAUGUGGUGCUGAGGGA